rnacentral:rRNA from 1 species
GAUUCAUGAUAACUUUACGGAUCGCAUAGCCUUGCGCUGGCGACGGUUCAUUCAAAUUUCUGCCCUAUCAACUUUCGAUGGUAAGGUAUUGGCUUACCAUGGUUUCAACGGGUAACGGGGAAUUAGGGUUCGAUUCCGGAGAGGGAGCCUGAGAAACGGCUACCACAUCCAAGGAAGGCAGCAGGCGCGCAAAUUACCCAAUCCCGACACGGGGAGGUAGUGACAAUAAAUACUGAUACAGGGCUCUUUUGGGUCUUGUAAUUGGAAUGAGUACAAUUUAAACCUCUUAACGAGGAACAAUUGGAGGGCAAGUCUGGUGCCAGCAGCCGCGGUAAUUCCAGCUCCAAUAGCGUAUAUUAAAGUUGUUGCAGUUAAAAAGCUCGUAGUUGAAACUUGGGCCUGGCUGGCGGGUCCGCCUCACCGCGUGCACUCGUCCGGCCGGGCCUUCCUUCUGAAGAACCUCAUGCCCUUCACUGGGCGUGUUGGGGAACCAGGACUUUUAC